UACGAAGGGGGCUAGCGUUGCUCGGAAUCACUGGGCGUAAAGCGCACGUAGGCGGAUUGCUAAGUCAGGGGUGAAAUCCUGGAGCUCAACUCCAGAACUGCCUUUGAUACUGGCGAUCUCGAGUUCGGGAGAGGUGGAGGUAGACUGCGAGUGUAGAGGUGAAAUUCGUAGAUAUUCGCAAGAACACCAGUGGCGAAGGCGGCUCACUGGCCCGAUACUGACGCUGAGGCACGAAAGCGUGGGGAGCAAACAGG
rnacentral:rRNA from 1 species